GACGAACGCUGGCGGCGUGCCUAAUACAUGCAAGUAGAACGCUGAAGAGAGGAGCUUGCUCUUCUUGGAUGAGUUGCGAACGGGUGAGUAACGCGUAGGUAACCUGCCUGGUAGCGGGGGAUAACUAUUGGAAACGAUAGCUAAUACCGCAUAAAAUGGAUUAUCGCAUGAUAAUCCAGUGAAAGGAGCAAAUGCAUCACUACCAGAUGGACCUGCGUUGUAUUAGCUAGUUGGUGGGGUAACGGGCCACCAAGGCGACGAUCCAUAGCCGGCCUGAGAGGGUGAUCGGCCACCUUGGGACUGAGACACGGGCCAGACGCCAAAGGGAGGCAGCAGGAGGGCAUCUUCGGCAAUGGACGGAAGUCUGACCGAGCAACACCGCGGAAGUGAAGAAGGGUUUCGGAUCGUAGAGCUCGGUUGUAAGAGAAGGACGAGUGUGAGAGUGGAAAGUUCACACUGUGACGGUAUCUUACCAGAAAGGGACGGCUAACUACGUG
rnacentral:rRNA from 1 species